rnacentral:misc_RNA from 1 species
CUCGCAAAAGGCUGAAGUAGGGUAGGGUUUCUCUGAGUUCUUUUAUAUCGACUCAUUUCUUCCUCACACGUAGUAUUCCACCAAAAACCAAACAACGCGACCUUUCCGAUGGAGCAAGUAGACGAAGAAUCAUCCAAAUCCGUCAGCAAGAAAGCGGCCAAGAAGGAGGCUGCUAAACAAGAGAAGUUACGCCGCCGCCAGGAAGCUGCGUUAGCCUCCGCCGCCGCAUCGCUCGCCAUUGGGGAGGAGGAAGAUCCAUU